rnacentral:misc_RNA from 1 species
CCGAGCGAGGGCCCCCGGGCUCGACCUCCAACCCCAUGUCAUCCGACCCAGUUGCCUCGGGGGUGACCCGGCCCUCGGGCCGGGGCCCCCGGCGGACCCUCCAACGCUGCAUCUGUGCGUCCGAGUGGAUAUUGAAUCAAACA